GCCAGGCAUGGUGUGCAUACCUGUAAUCCCAGCUACUUGGGAGGUGGAGGCAGGAGAACCCCAAGUUUGAUGCCAGCCUCAGCAACUUUUGAGACCCUGCCUCAA
rnacentral:sRNA from 1 species